UACGUAGGUGGCAAGCGUUGUCCGGAUUUACUGGGUGUAAAGGGCGUGUAGCCGGGAAGGCAAGUCAGAUGUGAAAUCCGGAGGCUCAACCUCCGAAUUGCAUUUGAAACUGUUUUUCUUGAGUACUGGAGAGGCAGACGGAAUUCCUGGUGUAGCGGUGAAAUGCUUAGAUAUCACGAAGAACUCCGAUUGCGAAGGCAGCUCACUGGACUGCAACUGACACUGAGGCUCGAAAGUGUGGGUAUCAAACAGG
rnacentral:rRNA from 1 species